rnacentral:rRNA from 1 species
AGUGAACGCUGGCGGUAGGCCUAACACAUGCAAGUCGAACGGCAGCACAGUAAGAGCUUGCUCUUACGGGUGGCGAGUGGCGGACGGGUGAGGAAUACAUCGGCAUCUACUUUUUCGUGGGGGAUAACGUAGGGAAACUUACGCUAAUACCGCAUACGACCUACGGGUGAAAGCAGGGGAUCUUCGGACCUUGCGCGAUUGAAUGAGCCGAUGUCGGAUUAGCUAGUUGGCGGGGUAAAGGCCCACCAAGGCGACGAUCCGUAGCUGGUCUGAGAGGAUGAUCAGCCAAACUGGAACUGAGACACGGUCCAGACUCCUACGGGAGGCAGCAGUGGGGAAUAUUGGACAAUGGGCGCAAGCCUGAUCCAGCCAUACCGCGUGGGUGAAGAAGGCCUUCGGGUUGUAAAGCCCUUUUGUUGGGAAAGAAAAGCAGCAGGUUAAUACCCCGCUGUUCUGACGGUACCCAAAGAAUAAGCACCGGCUAACUUCGU